rnacentral:rRNA from 1 species
GUGCCUACGGGAGGCAGCAGUGGGGAAUAUUGCACAAUGGGGGGAACCCUGAUGCAGCGACGCCGCGUGGGUGAGGAAGUACUUCGGUAUGUAAAGCCCUAUCAGCAGGGAAGAAAGUGACGGUACCUGACUAAGAAGCCCCGGCUAACUAUGUGCCAGCGGCCGCGGUAAUACAUAGGGGGCAAGCGUUAUCCGGAAUUAUUGGGUGUAAAGGGUGCGUAGACGGAAGAACAAGUUGGUUGUGAAAUCCCUCGGCUCAACUGAGGAACUGCAACCAAAACUAUUCUCCUUGAGUGUCGGAGAGG